UACGUAGGGUGCAAGCGUUGUCCGGAAUUAUUGGGCGUAAAGAGCUCGUAGGCGGUUCGUCGCGUCGGCUGUGAAAACCUGAGGCUCAACCUCAGGCCUGCAGUCGAUACGGGCGGACUUGAGUGCUGCAGGGGAGACUGGAAUUCCCGGUGUAGCGGUGAAAUGCGUAGAUAUCGGGAGGAAUACCUAUGGCGAAAGCAGGCUUCUGGUCCAUCACUGACGCUGAUCUGCGAAAGCUAGGGGAGCAAACAGG
rnacentral:rRNA from 1 species